UACGUAGGGGGCAAGCGUUGUCCGGAUUUAUUGGGCGUAAAGGGCGUGUAGGCGGCUUCGUAAGUCUCAUUGUGAAAGCCCUCGGCUCAACCGAGGAACUGCAUGGGAAACUGCGGAGCUUGAGUCCGAGAGAGGAGAGCGGAAUUCCCAGUGUAGCGGUGAAAUGCGUAGAUAUUGGGAGGAACACCGGUGGCGAAGGCGGCUCUCUGGACCGGUACUGACGCUGAGACGCGAAAGCUAGGGGAGCAAACGGG
rnacentral:rRNA from 1 species